UACGGGGGGGGCAAGCGUUGUUCGGAAUUACUGGGCGUAAAGGGCGUGUAGGUGGCCAACUAAGUCCGACGUGAAAUCCCCAGGCUUAACCUGGGAACUGCGUCGGAUACUGGAUGGCUUGAAUUCGGGAGAGGGAUGCAGAAUUCCAGGUGUAGCGGUGAAAUGCGUAGAUAUCUGGAGGAAUACCGGUGGCGAAGGCGGCAUCCUGGACCGGCAUUGACGCUGAUGAGCGAAAGCUAGGGGAGCAAACGGG
rnacentral:rRNA from 1 species